CCUACGGGGUGCAGCAGUGAGGAAUAUUGGUCAAUGGGCGGGAGCCUGAACCAGCCAAGUCGCGUGAGGGAAGACGGUCCUAUGGAUUGUAAACCUCUUUAGGCGGGGAGCAAUGCCGGGCACGUGUGCCCGGAGGGAGAGUACCCGCAGAAUAAGCAUCGGCUAACUCCGUGUCAGCAGCCGCGGUAAUACGGGGGAUGCGAGCGUUAUCCGGAUUUAUGGGGUUUAAAGGGUGCGUAGGCGGAUUUUUCAGUCAGCGGUAAAAUGUCCGGGCUCAACCCGGGCCGGCCGUUGAAACUGGGGAUCUUGAGUGGGCGAGAAGUAUGCGGAAGGCGUGGUGUAGCGGUGAAAUGCAUAGAUAUCACGCAGAACUCCGAUUGCGAAGGCAGCAUACCGGCGCCCGACUGACGCUGAGGCACGAAAGCGUGGGGAUCGAACAGGAUUAGAUACCCCAGUAGUC
rnacentral:rRNA from 1 species